rnacentral:rRNA from 1 species
CCUUGUACACACCGCCCGUCACAUCACGAAAGUGGGCUGUACUAGAAGUCGCCGGGCUAACCCUUCGGGGGGGCAGGCGCCGACGGUAUGGUUCAUGAUUGGGGUG